UGGGGAAUUUUGGACAAUGGGCGCAAACCUGAUCCAGCCAUGCCACGUGCGGGAAGAAGACCUUCGAGUUGUAAACCGCUUUUGUCGAGGAAGAAAAGCCUUGGGUUAAUACCCUGGAAUGAUGACGGUACCCGAAGAAUAAACACCGGCUAACUACGUGCCAGCAGCCGCGGUAAUACGUAGAGUGCAAGCGUUAAUCGGAAUUACUGGGCGUAAAGCGUGCACAGGCGGUUGUGUAAGACAGAUGUGAAAUCCCCGGACUCAACCAGGGAACUGCAUUGGUGACUGCACAGCUGAAGUGCGGCAGAGGGGGAUGGAAUUCCGCAUGUAGCAGUGAAAUGCGUAGAUAUGCGAAGAAACACCGAUGGCGAAGGCAAUCCCCUGGACCUGCACUGACGCUCAUGCACGAAAGCGUGGGGAGCAAACA
rnacentral:rRNA from 1 species